GCCCGGGCGAGCCCCGGCCAUGGGCGAGAGGCGGCGCGGGGAGAGCGGCGAGCCGGGCACGGGAUUUCCCCAGGAUCCCGAGGAGCAGAGUUCCCUGUCAGCACGGAUUCCAGUACAGCAGAGCCAUCCUGGUGGAAAACGAGCUUUUCCUGAGUGAGCUCCAAGCUUUUGCCCGAGCCAGGAGGAGCUGCAGGAGACCUUUGCAUUCCUGCUCUUUGACAAGGAGGAGGAGGCCCAGCAGGUGUGUCAGAGCGGGCUCCGUGUCAACAGCAGCAACAUCUCCACCCUGGGGGAUCCUGCCAAAGGGGUUUAUAUUUCCAAAUAUUCCGACUGCCUCCAUCCCAGCCCUUGGCACCACGGAAAAUCGGGAUUUAUUGUCAUCUGUAAACUCAUCAAGGGCAAGGUCGGAGCCAUCCCCGAGAGCUCCCCCAGCAGCUCCACGUUCCCCUCGCCCGGCUACGACUGCCGCG